AUUUACAUUCCUACAAAAUAACGUUAAUGCACCGGAUCCCAUUAGAACUCCAUAGUUAAGCACGCUCGGGCUAGAGUAGUACUGGGAUGGGUGAACUCUUAGGAAGUCCUAGUGUUUUACAUU
rnacentral:rRNA from 1 species